UGCCCCCAAGUUGGGAAUAACAGCUGGAAACGGCUGCUAAUACCGAAUGUGGCUAUUUUCUUGCAUGAGGAGAUGGCUAAAGAUUUAUCGCUUGGGGAUGAGCUCGCGUCCCAUUAGGUAGUUGGUGAGGUAACGGCCCACCAAGCCGAUGAUGGGUAGCUGGUCUGAGAGGAUGGUCAGCCACACUGGGACUGAGACACUGCCCAGACUCCUACGGGAGGCUGCAGUCGAGAAUCUUGGGCAAUGCGCGAAAGCGUGACCCAGCAAUGCCGCGUGUGUGAUGAAGGUCUUCGGAUUGUAAAACACUGUCUCCCGUGACGAUAAUGA
rnacentral:rRNA from 1 species